GACGAACGCUGGCGGCGUGCUUAACACAUGCAAGUCGAACGGAAAGGCCCUGCUUUUGUGGGGUGCUCGAGUGGCGAACGGGUGAGUAACACGUGAGUAACCUGCCCUUGACUUUGGGAUAACUUCCGGAAACUGGGGCUAAUACCGGAUAGGAGCUCCUGCUGCAUGGUGGGGGUUGGAAAGUUUCGGCGGCUGGGGAUGGACUCGCGGCUUAUCAGCUUGUUGGUGGGGUAGUGGCUUACCAAGGCUUUGACGGGUAGCCGGCCUGAGAGGGUGACCGGCCACAUUGGGGCUGAGAUACGGCCCAGACUGCUACGGGGGGCAGCAGUGGGGAGUAUUGCACAAGGGGCGGAAGCCUGAUGCAGCAACGCCGCGUGCGGGAUGACGGCCUUCGGGUUGUAAACCACUUUCGCCUGUGACGAAGCGUGAGUGACGGUAAUGGGUAAAGAAGCACCGGCUAACUACGUG
rnacentral:rRNA from 1 species